rnacentral:misc_RNA from 1 species
AGCCUUAUAAUGCAGACGUGAAGGAUACUCACCUUUUCGAGCUCGAGGAGGUGAAACCGGAGGACCUGAAUCGCUUGAACCAUCUGAAAUGAGAAAAAAAGAAUUGAAUAAAAUACAUUCGCCGAACGCAAAGGCAGAAAAAAGAUAUUGGAUGGUAAGAGAGGCUGGUUCGAAGAGGAAAAGAAAUGACGAAGGAAAGGCUGUAGGGAUCGGGGAAGACGAUAGAGGGUAGAAGGAACUUGAAGCAGACAUGAUUUAACCAUACGCUGCUGCAUCGUCAACGGUAACUCGGCAACAGAUCGACGGUCACAGUUUCUCCAGCGCGGAUUCAACCUUUAUUUUUUAUUUGCACGCUCAUGUUUUCAUUUAUCUCUUCCGUCGUGAUAUCACCGUUGCGAUGAGACAGCGAUAGUUGCGGUGGCGCGACGGUUAUUAACGGGAAUUCAUUAUUAUUGCAUCUGCAUUUCGCUAAUUGCAUAUCUGAACCUGGUACAGAAAUUCGCGCAGCAUAUACGAUGGUUUUCGAUAUCACGGAUAAAUGAUCAUAGAAAGAAGACGGCAGAAUGUUCAUUAAUCAAUGCUCAUAAUCCGAUCAGUAAUUUCUUCUAUCUCUCCAAAUUUUCAAAAGAGAAAAAAAAAAAAAGAAAAAUAAUAAAAAAAACUUAUUUGCCGAAAAAAAUCGCGAUACUUCCAAUGCACGGUACGUGCCAAUGCAUAUGUCUAUCGUAACGUUUAAAAGAAAAAUACCCGAAUAUAAAGUUCGAUAAGCGACAUCGAAAGGUAAUAAUUGUUUUCUUUCCUUUUUUUUUGCCUUUCUUUUUUAGAUGUAUCCGCGGUAUCGAAAGUGUGUCCUCGGAAGGACCGUCGGUAUAAUUUUCCGAUACGCCAUUAAACGUUUAAGGCCACCCGAGAUUCCCCUAUGCAAUCUCUAUGUGAAGAGGAGACCGUACAUUGCGGCAACGUCGUUUUCUUUCGGAGACAGCAGAAGCGGCGAUUCAAUUAGGCAAAGCGGCAAUCUUAAUUGUUAAUUAACAUUAUAUUUAUGCAAUUAUGGUCCAUUAUGAUUCUACAGGGCCGAUAACGAAGCGGUCGCGAUGAGUGCUCCUGAGAUAGUGGACUCAUCCGAGGCCUACCAACUACCUCUUGCCUCCUCAUCAUCCUUUCGCCAUGGAAGGAUACGCUCUAAGCGAGGCAGGUAUAACGCCGAGUCUGUAACUACCAUGAAUGGCGAGCGGACGAGAUAUCACCUCGCCAAAAUGCAUUUCGAAGCUUGUAUGGGAUAAAUGGGCUCCUCCUCGUCGACGAACGGACAGCAAAGAAGAAAGAGGAAAGGGCGAGAGUAGAUAAAGAAAAGAAACAAGAACGCAAUGAAGAGAGGGAGAGAGAAAGAAAAAGCGAAGAUGGUAUCGGUCCAGUAACGAACACACAACACAGAACACCCGGGUGCUCCUUCGCGAGAUGGUGCGAGGAAACGAUUCGCCACGAUGUGUUUCUCGUCUCUCCUUCUCGCCUUCGACGUUAUAUACAAUGUGUUCUCUAUAUCCGACGGUUUUGUUGCUCCCCCGACCAAUAACGACGUAGUUACCACGACGUAGCACGAGCCCUCUCUCGUGCAUAUGUUACUCUAUAUAUCGUGUGAGAACAACACCACGAAUAUCCUUCGUCCACCGAUAUAAGACUUUGCAGAAAUUAUAAGAAAUAACGUUUAUUAAAAUAAAAAAGACGUAGC